rnacentral:rRNA from 1 species
UGGGGAAUUGUUCGCAAUGGGCGCAAGCCUGACGACGCAACGCCGCGUGGAGGAUGAAGGUCUUCGGAUUGUAAACUCCUGUUGCCCGGGACGAAAUGCUUCAACCUAAUACGUUGAAGUUUGACGGUACCGGGUGAGGAAGCCCCGGCUAACUCUGUGCCAUCAGCCGCGGUAAUACAGAGGGGGCUAGCGUUGUUCGGAAUUACUGGGCGUAAAGCGCACGUAGGCGGGUCUGUAAGUAGGGGGUGAAAUCCCAGGGCUCAACCCUGGAACUGCCUUCUAGACUGCAGGCCUGGAGGUCAGGUGAGGCGAGUGGAAUACCGAGUGUAGAGGUGAAAUUCGUAGAUAUUCGGUGGAACACCAGUGGCGAAGGCGACUCGCUGGACUGAUACUGACGCUGAGGUGCGAAAGCGUGGGGAGCAAA